GUAGGUGGCAAGCGUUGUCCGGAAUUAUUGGGCGUAAAGCGCGCGCAGGUGGUUCUUUAAGUCUGAUGUGAAAGCCCCCGGCUCAACCGGGGAGGGUCAUUGGAAACUGGGGAACUUGAGUGCAGGAGAGGAGAGUGGAAUUCCACGUGUAGCGGUGAAAUGCGUAGAUAUGUGGAGGAACACCAGUGGCGAAGGCGACUUUCUGGCCUGUAACUGACACUGAGGCGCGAAAGCGUGGGGAGCAAACAGGGAUUAGAUACCCUGGUAGUCACGCCGUAAACGAUGAGUGCUAAGUGUUGGGGGGGUUUCCCGCCCCUCAGUGCUGCAGCUAACGCAUUAAGCACUCCGCCUGGGGAGUACGGUCGCAAGACUG
rnacentral:rRNA from 1 species